CUCAAAUAGUCUGUAGCAGGAGGAACAGUUGGGAGCAAUCAGGGGCAUGAAGAGCAGCUGGAUGAAGGGAUAAAGCAGUUCUGGAUCAGGAACUAUCACAUCAUGCAGCACAAAUGCCAGUUAAGACAAAUACGUAGAUGAUGAGAAACAAAGAAAGAAGCCUGUCUGAUGUAAAACAUUCUCUCAAACCGUGGUCACCCUCUGAAUCAGGAAUUCACUGUGCUGGACUGCCUGCUGCUAUUUACCCUUCAAGAGCCGAGAAAUUACUGGUGUCCUUGUUCCGAACAAAUGGCUGUUGCUGCUGCUGGAAACGACUCAGCUCAGGAGGAUACAAAUGUCCACCUGCUGCAUGGAAUCGAGAAGAUGGCUCUUUUUUGAAUGAGCUACGAGGUCGGGGUCUUGAAAUGAAUUCCGGGGAGGAUAUCUACUUAUCACCAUGAGCCUGCUGUGACUGACAGUGGAGUUCUUGGCAUCUGACUGACGGCCAUUUUGCUUUUCCCUCUACUGCUGCUGUGCAGUCGCCAUGGGAACUGGCUACAUGAAUACCAUCUGUAUAAUUAGCUCCCCCUAUACUCUGUCUUUAAAGAGAGAAAGACAGAGGGAUGAAUAAGAGAGCAACAGGAAGGGGAAAGACAGAGGGAGAGAAGCACUGAGAGGCCUGGGGGUCCCUCUGCACCUUGCUCGUAUUAUUACAUUGGAAAAGAUGGAGAGGGAAAAUAAAAAAGGAAGCUGUAAGGACAGAGCAGAGGGAGAAAGUGAGCCAUGGACACAUGGAGAGAGGAACAGAGCAGAGGAGGAGAGUGGUGCAAUGAAUGGAAGUGAGGGGGGUAAGACAAGGAGGUGAAAAAGAGACAGACAGAUGGGUGGGAUCAGACGGAGAAAUGUUUCAAACUGUGACAGCGAAUGCAGAUGACAAUAUGAAUGAGUGUGUGCAUGUGAGAGGCAGGAAGAUAGAGUAAGAAAGAGAAAAAAAGUGCAAACAUAGCAAAGAAUGACAAAUGGGAGUCGAGAUAUGACAAAGUAGAAGAACAAAAAAUGGAAAAGGAUAAAGGGGGAAAUCCCAGCCCUCAUUCACGUUAUGUCUGGGUUGAAGCCUGUCUCAGUUUUAAGGGGAUCCAUUAUUCUUUUUUUUCUUAUUUUCUGUCACAAGUUUCAAAUAAGGGGGUAAAUAUAUGCAAAAGAAAUUCCUGGAAGUCAAAAACACAGGCUUCACAUGGCUCUGAAUGCUAAGUUUCCACUGUUUGUUUUUUUUUUUUUACUUCCUUGCAGAGCUGCUUAUUCUUUUCUUUGCAUGAUCAUCAUCUUCCAAAAUCAACUAGACUUACUUAUAUAUACAAAACAGUGUACUUGACCAUGAUUAUAGGCAUUGUACUGACUCCACCAUACAAAUAACCAACAGUGCAAGAAAAUAAAGCAGAGGUCUUCCUCUUCAGUUGGCAUUCCAGUCUAUUUCUUAUCUAUUAACAGAGGUAUAUAUUCAGAAAUUGUAUGUACAGUUUGUGAUUCAAUGAAUAAAUCCACCAUUAUAUCCCACAGUAAAUGAGUUUUAAGUGCAAUAUUUACCAAACUAUAUAACUUCUCCCCCUUCUGCGGGAAUGACAGGUGAAACAUCAGGCACUUAAAUCAUGAGCAAUAAUAUCAAUAUCAGUUGCAAUGUUGUUUUCCUUGACACUUUGUGCAAUAUCAGUUUGCAGUAUUGUGUGUAGCAUUUUAUGUACAGUAGCCAAGUCUUAUUUUAGUAUGCAUCUAUUAUUUUCAGUAAUGUAUCAUAUUUAUA